UACGGAGGGUGCAAGCGUUAAUCGGAAUCACUGGGCGUAAAGCGCGCGUAGGCGGUGAUGAAAGUCAGUGGUGAAAGCCCUCAGCUUAACUGGGGAAUUGCCAUUGAAACUGCAUUGCUUGAGUAUGUGAGAGGAUAGUGGAAUUCCUGGUGUAGGAGUGAAAUCCGUAGAUAUCAGGAGGAACAUCAGUGGCGAAGGCGACUAUCUGGCACAUUACUGACGCCGAGGUGCGAAAGCGUGGGGAGCAAA
rnacentral:rRNA from 1 species